ensembl:lncRNA
GCCCCUCGGGCCGGCCGUGGGAAAGCGGCGGCGGCGGGCUCCGCGUGCGGCUCCGAUGCGGGGCUGUAGCGGGGCCGCGGUGCUGUCCUCUCUGCUCACUCCGCGGCCCCCUCCUCACGGUUUCCCUCCUCACGGUUUCCCUGCCGGCCUCCCCUGGCUCGAGGAGUGUGGCUCGAGGAGCGCUCCCUGUCAGCCCAGUCCUCCCGCUGUUCCCCCCCCCCCACCUCCUAAUUUUGGAGGCUGAGAGAAGGGAGAGCGGCCCUUCAAGCGCUGCGCUGUGCCGUGCGGCUCCAGGCCAGGAAGGAAGGGCUGGCGGGAGAGGCGCUGCCUCAGGGUGAGCGCACGCAGCAGGACGCCAGCGCGUGUCCCCCUCACAAACCUCCCGCCUCUCAGCUGAGGUACGAGCGAGGAAGGGACGUGUGACGCGAAGCCGCGCUCCCCGAGGUGGUUUCAUAACACAGGCUCCCGUUUGACCCUGGUUGCGUGUAGUCUCACAGCUGGAGCCACUGACCUCCCAGAGAGAUUGCUAAUCAGGCCAGAUUGCACUGCAGGGAGUGGUGAGCGCUGUGUUCAGAUAUCUGACGAGGAUUUGUGAGGACCACCAACAUCUCUGCACAAGUAACCCGAACCACAGGAAAAAUAAUCCAGCAAACCAACUCUGCGCACUGCCAGCUUUGUAGCAAUUACAGAACUUCAUCAGUACUCAACCUAGUUCAUGAUUUUUUCAGUUCUUGCAUCUCCUUAUUUACAUAUAGAAAAGAAGCUUCAGCAAGGAUUAAAAAAAAAAAAAAGAAAGCCACCAAAAAGCAACCAGCCCGUCAGUGAGUCAUCUGAAAGCUCCCUGUUCUUUUUCCUGUUUUCUCACUGAAUAUGGAGAGCAGCUCAUGACUUCUGUCCUGGUACGCCAAGUCUAUCUGAGGCAGGUUCAGCUGCCUGAGAGAGUUCAAGUCAGACUUCAUGGCCACCGUUGCCUACUGGAGCCACUGCAGAGGAACAACAGAGCUCCAGUUAAAAGAGGCUUCUGCAUGGAUUGGUCACAGUAAUUGCAAAAUGCUCUGCUGAAGAUGCCCAUCCCUUCUGGAACUACAAAUUAAGCGAGCGACCUAAUUUCAACUUUCUUUAUUUCUGUAACGAAGUUACA